rnacentral:hammerhead_ribozyme from 1 species
GUACAGUUGAAGAGUCCCAGAUUAAGACGAAACAGUUGUCCAGUAC